GACGAACGCUGGCGGCGUGCUUAACACAUGCAAGUCGAACGGAACUCUUUGGAUCAAGACUUCGGGUCAAGUGAAGUUGAGUUUAGUGGCGGACGGGUGAGUAACGCGUGAGGAACCUGCCUUUCAGAGGGGGACAACAGUUGGAAACGACUGCUAAUACCGCAUGAUACUUCUGAGGGCAUCCUGGAAAGUCAAAGCUUUAUGUGCUGAAAGAUGGCCUCGCGUCUGAUUAGCUAGUUGGUGGGGUAACGGCCCACCAAGGCGACGAUCAGUAGCCGGACUGAGAGGUUGACCGGCCACAUUGGGACUGAGAUACGGCCCAGACUCCUACGGGGAGGCAGCAGGUGGGGAAUAUUGGGCAAUGGGCGAAAGCCUGACCCAGCAACGCCGCGUGAAGGAAGAAGGCCUUCGGGUUGUAAACUUCUUUUACCAGGGACGAACACAAUGACGGUACCUGGAGAAAAAGCAACGGCUAACUACGUG
rnacentral:rRNA from 1 species